UCCGGAUUUAUUGGGCGUAAAGCGAGCGCAGGCGGAAGAAUAAGUCUGAUGUGAAAGCCCUCGGCUUAACCGAGGAACUGCAUCGGAAACUGUUUUUUUUGAGUGCAGAAGAGGGAGAGUGGAACUCCAUGUGUAGCGGUGGAAAUGCGUAGAUAUAUGGGAAGAACACCAGUGGCGAAGGCGGCUCUCUGGUCUGCAACUGACGUGAGGCUCGAAAGCAUGGGUCUCGAACAGGAUUAGAUACCCUGGUAGUCCAUGCCGUAAACGAUGAGUGCUAAGUGUUGGGAGGUUUCCGCCUCUCAGUGCUGCAGCUAACGCAUUAAGCACUCCGCCUGGGGAGUACGACCGCAAGGUUGAAACUCAAAGGAAUUGACGGGGGCCCGCACAAGCGGUGGAGCAUGUGGUUUAAUUCGAAGCAACGCGAAGAACCUUACCAGGUCUUGACAUCUAGUGCCAUUUGUAGAGAUACAAAGUUCCCUUCGGGGACGCUAAGACAGGUGGUGCAUGGCUGUCGUCAGCUCGUGUCGUGAGAUGUUGGGUUAAGUCCCGCAACGAGCGCAACCCUUGUUAUUAGUUGCCAGCAUUAAGUUGGGCACUCUAAUGAGACUGCCGGUGACAAACCGGAGGAAGGUGGGGAUGACGUCAAGUCAUCAUGCCCCUUAUGACCUGGGCUACACACGUGCUACAAUGGGCAGUACAACGAGAAGCGAGCCUGCGAAGGCAAGCGAAUCUCUGAAAGCUGUUCUCAGUUCGGACUGCAGUCUGCAACUCGACUGCACGAAGCUGGAAUCGCUAGUAAUCGCGGAUCAGCACGCCGCGGUGAAUACGUUCCCGGGCCUUGUACACACCGCCCGUCACACCAUGGGAGUCUGCAAUGCCCAAAGCCGGUGGCCUAACCUUCGGGAAGGAGCCGUCUAAGGCAGGGCAGAUGACUGGGGUGAAGUCGUAAACC
rnacentral:rRNA from 1 species